UGGGAAGUAAAAGUCGUAACAAGGUCUCCGUUGGUGAACCAGCGGAGGGAUCAUUACAGAGUUACUACUCCAAAACCCAUUGUGAACCUUACCUAUGUUCUGUUGCCUCGGCGGCGUGGUCAGCGCCCCCUCUGAAAAGAGGACGAUGCCCUCCCGCCGGCAGCACCAAACUCUUGAAUUUUACAGCGGAUUACAGUUCUGAUUUGAAAAGAAAAAACAAGUUAAAACUUUCAACAACGGAUCUCUUGGUUCUGGCAUCGAUGAAGAACGCAGCGAAAUGCGAUAAGUAAUGUGAAUUGCAGAAUUCAGUGAAUCAUCGAAUCUUUGAACGCACAUUGCGCCCGGCAGUAAUCUGCCGGGCAUGCCUGUCCGAGCGUCAUUUCAACCCUCGAACCUCCGUUUCCUCAGGGAAGCUCAGGGUCGGUGUUGGGGCGCUACGGCGAGUCUUCGCGACCCUCCGUAGGCCCUGAAAUACAGUGGCGGUCCCGCCGCGGUUGCCUUCUGCGUAGUAAGUCUCUUUUGCAAGCUCGCAUUGGGUCCCGGCGGAGGCCUGCCGUCAAACCACCUAUAACUCCAGAUGGUUUGACCUCGGAUCAGGUAGGGUUACCCGCUGAACUUAAGCAUAUCAAUAAGCGGAGGAA
rnacentral:misc_RNA from 1 species